AACGUAGGAGACAAACGUUAUCCGGAGUUACUGGGCGUAAAGGGCGUGUAGGUGGUUUCGUAAGUUUGGCGUGAAAUAUCUCGGCUUAACCGAGGCAGGUCGUCGGAUACUGCGGGACUAGAGGACGGUAGAGGCGUGUGGAAUUCCGGGUGUAGUGGUGAAAUGCGUAGAGAUCCGGAGGAACACCAGUGGCGAAGGCGACACGCUGGGCCGUACCUGACACUGAUGCGCGACAGCAUGGGGGAGCAAACAGGAGUUA
rnacentral:rRNA from 1 species